rnacentral:rRNA from 1 species
UACGGGGGGGGCAAGCGUUGUUCGGAAUUACUGGGCGUAAAGGGCUCGUAGGCGGCCAACUAAGUCGGAUGUGAAAUCCCCAGGCUUAACCUGGGAACUGCAUCCGAUACUGGAUGGCUUGAAUCCGGGAGAGGGAUGCAGAAUUCCAGGUGUAGCGGUGAAAUGCGUAGAUAUCUGGAGGAACACCGGUGGCGAAGGCGGCGUUCUGGACUGUAACUGACACUGAUGAACGAAAGCCAGGGGAGCAAACGGG